rfam:Delta proteobacterium ML8_D scaffold_1, whole genome shotgun sequence.
GACUCCGCGAGGGGCCAUCUUAAGGAAGGAGGAGUGCAAAGCUGUGAGCUGACAAACAGAUAUGGCGGACAAGAACCAGUUUCCGGGGAAUUCGCCACCAUCUGUGUUCAACGAAAAGGCAGGCAACGUGACGAAGCUCUUGGUUCAGUAGACAGGGUAAAUGACUUGGUUGUGUAACAAAAGAUCAUGCU